rnacentral:rRNA from 1 species
AUUGAACGCUGGCGGAAUGCUUUACACAUGCAAGUCGAACGGCAGCACGGACUUCGGUCUGGUGGCGAGUGGCGAACGGGUGAGUAAUACAUCGGAACGUGCCCAGUCGUGGGGGAUAACGUAGCGAAAGCUACGCUAAUACCGCAUACGAUCUAAGGAUGAAAGCGGGGGAUCGCAAGACCUCGCGCGAUUGGAGCGGCCGAUGGCAGAUUAGGUAGUUGGUGGGGUAAAGGCUCACCAAGCCGACGAUCUGUAGCUGGUCUGAGAGGACGACCAGCCACACUGGGACUGAGACACGGCCCAGACUCCUACGGGAGGCAGCAGUGGGGAAUUUUGGACAAUGGGCGCAAGCCUGAUCCAGCCAUUCCGCGUGCAGGAUGAAGGCCCUCGGGUUGUAAACUGCUUUUGUACGGAACGAAAAGGCUCUGGUUAAUACCUGGGGCUCAUGACGGUACCGUAAGAAUAAGCACCGGCUAACUACGUGCCAGCCGCCGCGGUAA